rnacentral:lncRNA from 1 species
GCGGGAAGCUAGAAUCACAUAACCCACAAGAGUGGACCCUCCCGCUGGGGAAGGGCGGGGAGGACCGGGAACCCACGAGAGUGGACCCUCCUGCUGGGGAAGUUCAGGGAGGACCAGGAACCCACAAGAGUGGACCCUCCCUCUGGGGAAGUUCAGGGAGGACUGGGAACCCACAAGAGUGGACCCUCCCGCUGCGGAAGGGCAGGGAGGACCAGAGGACUCGGGGAUGAUGAAGACGUUCCAGCUCCUGACGCUGGCGAGACUCACGCUGCUGACACCUGUCACAGUGCACGGGCUCACACUUAACUUUUGUGUGUUUCACGUUGUUUUCAUAUUCUGGUGUAAGUUUGUUUUAUUUCUCUAGAAAGAAGCAAGGGCUGUGAAUGGUGAUUAAACGUUCCUUCUCAGGUUUGCCUGUGCGUGGGGUAGAGGUGGACCACGCAGACCCUCCCUGCUGUGAGCUCCGUGGAGGGUCAAUGCAGAUGCAGGGAGACUGUGGGGCCCGGUAUCCGCGACGCUGGACAAGGGGGUUCCCGCUCUGGAAGGAGGAGUCAAGGUCUCCAGUGGUGUCGGAUUAGAAUAUGAGGAAUCCGUCUGAGCUCAUUCUCCACAGGAUCCCACGAGGGAAAGCCUGGCUUUUCCCUGUGCAGAUGCCAGGCCUCUACAGGUUCCAGAAGGUUCCUCUGCUCCUCUGAGAGGGCAGGGCACUUGCACAGGGAACAGGCAGCCGAAGGCAGCCACAGCCCUACUGGAACCAGGGUUUCUCUGCCUCCUGGGAAGAGGUCAGUGGAUGGGUUGGGGAGGGGGACAGGCGGCCUUCCUGUGGGAGUCGAAGAGCCUGGGGCCUCCCCUCCUUGGAGGCGACCAGACACCUUCCCUAACUGGAGGAAAUUCUGAACCCCAGACCUGGAAAGUUCAAAGCUGAAAUAAAAUCGCCCCUUGUUUUGCGA